rnacentral:rRNA from 1 species
GACGAACGCUGGCGGCGUGCCUAAUACAUGCAAGUAGAACGCUGAAGGAGGAGCUUGCUUCUCUGGAUGAGUUGCGAACGGGUGAGUAACGCGUAGGUAACCUGCCUGGUAGCGGGGGAUAACUAUUGGAAACGAUAGCUAAUACCGCAUAAUAGUAGAUGUUGCAUGACAUUUGCUUAAAAGGUGCAAUUGCAUCACUACCAGAUGGACCUGCGUUGUAUUAGCUAGUUGGUGGGGUAACGGCUCACCAAGGCGACGAUACAUAGCCGACCUGAGAGGGGGAUCGGCCACACUGGGACUGAGACACGGCCCAGACUCCUACGGGAGGCAGCAGUAGGGAAUCUUCGGCAAUAGACGGAAGUCUGACCGAGCAACGCCGCGUGAGUGAAGAAGGUUUUCGGAUCGGAAAGCUCUGUUGUAAGAGAAGAACGAGUGUGAGAGUGGAAAGUUCACACUGUGACGGUAUCUUACCAGAAAGGGACGGCUAACUACGUG